rnacentral:rRNA from 1 species
GACGAACGCUGGCGGCGUGCUUAACACAUGCAAGUCGAACGGAAAGGCCCUGCCUGCAGGGUGCUCGACUGGCGAACGGGUGAGUAACACGCGUGUGAUCGGCCCCUCACUCUGGGAUAAGCCCGGGAAACGGGGUCUAAUACUGGAUAGGAGCAUGCUGUAGGUGGUGUGGUGGAAAGAUUAGUUUCUGUGGUGGAUGAGCUCGCGGCCUAUCAGCUUGUUGGUGGGGUAAUGUCGUACCAAGGAGUCGACGGGUAUCCGGCCUGCGGGGGUGGACGGCGGCAUUGCGACUGAGGUACGGCGCCGCAGCCUACGGGAGGAAGCAGUGGGGAAGAUUGGACAAUGGGGGGAGGAGUGAUGACGCGACGCCGCGUGGGGGCUGACGUCCUUCGGGUUGUAGGAUACUUUAAGCCAUGACGAAGCCCUUAUAGUGACGGUAGCGGCAGAAGAAGCACCGGCUAACUACGUG